GACGAACGCUGGCGGCGUGCUUAACACAUGCAAGUCGAGCGAGCGGCGGACGGGUGAGUAAUGUAUGGGGACUGCCCGAUAGCGGGGGAUAACUCCUGGAAACGGUGGCUACUACCGCAUACUAUCGGAUAACCCAUAUGGGAUUGGCUAGUAGGUGGGGUAAAGGCUCACCUCGUCGACGAUGUCUAGCUGGUCUGAGAGGAUGAUCAGCCACACUGGGACUGAGACACGGCCCAGACUCCUACGGAGGCAGCAGUGGGGAAUAUUGCACAAUGGGCGCAAGCCUGAUGCAGCCAUGCCGCGUGUAUGAAGAAGGCCUUAGGGUUGUAAAGGACUUUCAGCGGGGAGGCGUUACCCGCAGAAGAAGCACCGGCUAACUCCGUGCCAGCAGCCGCGGUAAUUC
rnacentral:rRNA from 1 species